AGAGUUUGAUCCUGGCUCAGGACGAACGCUGGCGGCGUGCCUAAUACAUGCAAGUCGAACGAACUCUGGUAUUGAUUGGUGCUUGCAUCAUGAUUUACAUUUGAGUGAGUGGCGAACUGGUGAGUAACACGUGGGAAACCUGCCCAGAAGCGGGGGAUAACACCUGGAAACAGAUGCUAAUACCGCAUAACAACUUGGACCGCAUGGUCCGAGCUUGAAAGAUGGCUUCGGCUAUCACUUUUGGAUGGUCCCGCGGCGUAUUAGCUAGAUGGUGGGGUAAUGGCUCACCAUGGCAAUGAUACGUAGCCGACCUGAGAGGGUAAUCGGCCACAUUGGGACUGAGACACGGCCCAAACUCCUACGGGAGGCAGCAGUAGGGAAUCUUCCACAAUGGACGAAAGUCUGAUGGAGCAACGCCGCGUGAGUGAAGAAGGGUUUCGGCUCGUAAAACUCUGUUGUUAAAGAAGAACAUAUCUGAGAGUAACUGUUCAGGUAUUGACGGUAUUUAACCAGAAAGCCACGGCUAACUACGUGCCAGCAGCCGCGGUAAUACGUAGGUGGCAAGCGUUGUCCGGAUUUAUUGGGCGUAAAGCGAGCGCAGGCGGUUUUUUAAGUCUGAUGUGAAAGCCUUCGGCUCAACCGAAGAAGUGCAUCGGAAACUGGGAAACUUGAGUGCAGAAGAGGACAGUGGAACUCCAUGUGUAGCGGUGAAAUGCGUAGAUAUAUGGAAGAACACCAGUGGCGAAGGCGGCUGUCUGGUCUGUAACUGACGCUGAGGCUCGAAAGUAUGGGUAGCAAACAGGAUUAGAUACCCUGGUAGUCCAUACCGUAAACGAUGAAUGCUAAGUGUUGGAGGGUUUCCGCCCUUCAGUGCUGCAGCUAACGCAUUAAGCAUUCCGCCUGGGGAGUACGGCCGCAAGGCUGAAACUCAAAGGAAUUGACGGGGGCCCGCACAAGCGGUGGAGCAUGUGGUUUAAUUCGAAGCUACGCGAAGAACCUUACCAGGUCUUGACAUACUAUGCAAAUCUAAGAGAUUAGACGUUCCCUUCGGGGACAUGGAUACAGGUGGUGCAUGGUUGUCGUCAGCUCGUGUCGUGAGAUGUUGGGUUAAGUCCCGCAACGAGCGCAACCCUUAUUAUCAGUUGCCAGCAUUAAGUUGGGCACUCUGGUGAGACUGCCGGUGACAAACCGGAGGAAGGUGGGGAUGACGUCAAAUCAUCAUGCCCCUUAUGACCUGGGCUACACACGUGCUACAAUGGAUGGUACAACGAGUUGCGAACUCGCGAGAGUAAGCUAAUCUCUUAAAGUCAUUCUCAGUUCGGAUUGUAGGCUGCAACUCGCCUACAUGAAGUCGGAAUCGCUAGUAAUCGCGGAUCAGCAUGCCGCGGUGAAUACGUUCCCGGGCCUUGUACACACCGCCCGUCACACCAUGAGAGUUUGUAACACCCAAAGUCGGUGGGGUAACCUUUUAGGAACCAGCCGCCUAAGGUGGGACAGAUGAUUAGGGUGAAGUCGUAACAAGGUAGCCGUAGGAGAACCUGCGGCUG
rnacentral:rRNA from 1 species